GUGCCAGCGCCGCGGUAAUACGGAGGAUGCAAGCGUUAUCCGGAUUUAUUGGGUUUAAAGGGUGCGCAGGUUGUUUGAUAAGUCAGUGGUGAAAGUCUGUCGCUUAACGGUAGGAUUGCCAUUGAUACUGUUGGACUUGAAUAUGGAUGAGGUAGGCGGAAUGUGUAGUGUAGCGGUGAAAUGCAUAGAUAUUACACAGAACACCGAUUGCGAAGGCAGCUUACUAAUCCAUCAUUGACGCUGAGGCACGAAAGCGUGGGGAUCAAACAGG
rnacentral:rRNA from 1 species